CCUGUGGGAGAGGUGGGUGCCCGAUGGGCACCUGCGCCGAAGGAGCAACCGCCCCGGAAUCUCUCAGGCAAAAGGACCGCAGGGCG
rnacentral:ncRNA from 1 species